rnacentral:sRNA from 1 species
UAAAAAUAAUUUCAUUAACGUACGGCCAGCUGAUCGGAGGACGAGCAAUUGGCAGACCAAUCGAUUCAUCCGAUCGCUCUGGAUCAAGAUGUGUAUUACUAAAAUCAGUAGUUAGUAACUCUGUGGUCUUAGGGGCUAUUACAAAAAACGGUAUACGACAUGGUAUCUUACAAUCAGACAAGUAAGUACAUUUCUGUUGUUGGUGCUUAUCAAAUAAAUGCUAAAAAUA